CCUGCUGGAUGGGCAGGAGCUAAUGUUUCGGGGGCUGCACUGGGUCAUGGAGGUGCUCCAGGCCACAUGCAGACGGACUCUGGAAGUGGCAAGGACAUCCCUCCUCUACCUCAGCAGCAGCCUGGGAACUGAGAGGUGAAGAGCCUGAGGCCUGGAGAGCUAAAGGACUAACCCAAGGUCAUGCAGAUAGCAAAUGCCAGGACUAGGACUCGAACCCAUGUCUCCUGACUCCCUGUGGAGAUGUAUUGGGUCCAGCCUCACCCUCUUCUGCCGUCAAAUUUCCCAUGCCUUAAAAUCCAU
rnacentral:lncRNA from 1 species